GUGCUGACUGGAGAUGUCCCCCAGAGUGGCCACUGCCAGGACCACACGUUCUGGGCCUGUCAGCAAGGCAGUGCUGGGCACAGCUGCACGUCAGCACUGAAGGUAAUAGAAGUGGCUCCAUAGUCCAUCCAGAUGGGAGUGGUGGUGUCUCAGAGCCUGGCCAAGUGAGAAGCAAGGAGCAAGAAGUGCUGGACAAGUGCUGUGACACUGCAGGCUGGCUCUCCAACAUCUCCUAAGUGAGUCCUGGCAAGGACUCAGAUCCUGUGCUCGUCAUCAAAACUACCCUCAGGAGCCCAGUGGCCAUGGAGUAUGCUCUGCCUCCCCUGUGUAAUCUACAGCGGACCAUGAGUGGUCACCAAGAGAAACCUGGUCUCUGCCUCUCCAGCCCAACUGACCGUUCCACCGAAGCCUCUUGACAGCAUCUUCUCCACAGAGCCUGACUGGCCCCAGCUGGUGUCUCUUGUACUCAGUGACCUCCGUGUCAGAAUGGGCACCUGUAUGGCCAUGAGCCUUCUGGCUGGAGUGGAAAGGGCCCCCAUGAGCCCUGAACACAUCAACUUAGAGGUGUCUCAGCCUCACAUCCUACUCCAGACUCAGGGCCCUGGAGUUGUUCCCUUCGAAGCAAAAGCCACAUCUGCAACAUGUGGUGCCGUUGGUCCUGCAUACAGUCUAUUCUCUGCUCAGCUCUGCACUCAGAGCAGAGGCAACUCACAAGGCUCAGAACUGAGAAUAGUGAGUGAUCGCUGUUAUGGUUUGGGUCUAUAUGUCCCCCCAAAGCCUCAUGCAGUCAUAGGUGGCUUAUUCAGAGGUGGCUGAAUCUAGAGUGUGUGAUAGUAGGAUUAAGGGGAUGUGAUUACUAAACCAGUACACUGAUUGGUUUGGCAUCACCCUAAUCCUGGUAGUCUGGAUAGGAUAAAAGGCCCAGAAAGACGCUUUUAAGGUCCUCUUGUUGCGUGUGCUACCAUAUGGGUACGAUGAACUGUUUCUCCUCAGCCAUGUGCCACUCUGCCUUGGAGCCAGCCAAUUA
ensembl:lncRNA